rnacentral:rRNA from 1 species
GUCUAUGGCCAUGCCACCCUACAAGCCCAAUCCCAUCUGAUCUUGGAAGCUAAGCAGGGUUGGACCUGGUUAGUACUUGGAUGAGAGACCACCUAGGAAGACUAGGUGCUGUAGGCA